CUUCCUACCCAAGCACACUCCCAUCGUUUGGAAUGCCGAACCUGCUCGUUGCGUAACCUGAACAAUGCCUCUAAUGCCUCCUAACACACUAUUUCCACUCUUAUUUCUAUCCACCAUUUGUAGCGUCGUGAACGGUCAACUGGGAGAAUCUAGGCUGAGUGAAAGACCUUACGUCGUGUUUCAAAAUCAAAAUCUGGUUCUGCUCGUGAGUGUGUUUUCCGUUCUGCUGGUGGUGAUGAUCGUCAUGGCAGUGUGUGUUUACAAACCUGUGCGUAGACGGUGAAUCAGGCAGCCAUGCAGGAAGCAUCAUUUGGCACUGGAGGACACAAUACAAUGAGGGACAAUCGCAAGUGCUUCAUUCAGCCCCGCCUUUGUGUUAUGCGGAGUUCUGCUUCGGAAAGAGUGAAUGAAAGCAAGGCUAGACAUACAUUCCUCUUGUCUUAGUUAAGCCAUAAUCAUGAAAUCAGAAUUGGGAUCAAUUGGUUUUACAAGUGUUGCCCUCUUUCUUUCAUUCAGUUUGUAGGCCCACCCUAGCAUUAAUGCAGGCCUAAUUUGAUUUGUCGUUUCCUUUGAAAGAUGUGAGAUAUUAAUUUAAUCGAACAUAUUAGGGAAGCAGACUAGCCUAUCACGUAGAAUACAGGCGAGAUUUCUGUCAUUUGAUUUGCCAGAAUUCUUAUGCUGCUGUUCUCUCAUUUUUAUUUAACUUGUGCACUUUCACUACUUUGCGAGAAGAAUGUAGCCUACCUGUUCUUUAUCACUGUCUUAUUUUGGUUUAAGUAUUUAUUGCUCAAGGUUUAUUUUUUAUUUAUGAAUACCUUGUGUUUGAAUAAAUGUGGGAUGUGUUCUAAGAAAUUGGUAUAA